rfam:Brachypodium distachyon strain Bd21 chromosome 5, whole genome shotgun sequence.
AUGAUACUCGCUCCGUCCAACAAAGAAUGUCUCAACUUUGACUACAUUUGAAUGCAUCUAUACACUAAAUCACAUCUAGUUACAUCCAAAUUUUAACAAACUUGAGACAUCUUUUGUUGGACGGAAGGAGUACUCG